rnacentral:tRNA from 2 species
GGUCUCGUAGCUCAGUUGGGAGAGCGUCUGGUUUACACCCAGAGGGUCGGCGGUUCGAGCCCGUCCGAGAUCAC